AGCGCGCGACCGAAAACAUGUUCAAUUAAUUUAUUUUAAAUUGAUUAUUGGUAUUUAAUUGAACACGAGCAAAGCUAUUAAAUACGGAAUAGAAAAUAGAAAACGUUUUUAUUAACUGUUAACUGUGUCAAUUUUAAGAUGGCCUACGAAUGCGUUCCUUUCCCCGCCCCCGGAAGUUUAAUGUAGAGGACUGAAAGGAUCCUAAAUUUAAAAUACUGGAAAGAUUGUAAAACAGUAAAAAAGAAGUAGCGACCCUAAACUGGAUGAAGCUCUGUGGUUGGAUGGAUGCAUGGAUGGAUUGAAAGCAGCUUCGGGGCAGGAGAGCUGGAGGCACUUUGGUAGCCAUUAGUGCUUUUAGUACUUGAAGAGAAACCUGAAGAAAAAUACAGGAAGAUGUGUAAGACAAAAUUUCACAAAAUACAAAUUCUCUGUCGUUAUUAAUGUAACCUCUCAGUCCAGAGCAUCAAGGGCUUAGUCAUAUAAAAACAUUCUGUCACUGUCCCCGUGUCUCUCUGGCUGGCUCACGCUGGCUACAGGUUUUGUUGUUGUUUUUUGUUUUUGUUUUCUUUGUCUCUCCUCCUCCUCUCUGCCUGGGUGGAGCUCGUUACGGGCUCUCGCUCUUGGCCCACGCACCUGUGUGAUUGUCUCCACCUGCUGCUGAUCUGGCUGAUUUCCCCGGCUGCUAUUUAAGGCAGUGGCACAGAGCAGCUCACCGCUGGAACGUUGAACCUCCUGAAUAUCCCUCUUCUGGACCAAAUCACGGGACCUGCCCGGGUGUGGCAGCGUGUGUGGAGUUUCGGAGCGAGUGCGGCUGAAGAGGAGUGCGUGUGUGUGGAGGAGGAAGCGUGUGUGGAUCCCCCCCCCUUCUCUCCCCAGAGCCCUGGACCCCCCCCUCUCCCAACUCACUGUACAUAUAUAUAGCACUGAGGUGAUCCCUGUUGUAAAUAAAUAAUCUCCUUUUGUUCUCAAAGAAAGAACUG